GGAUUAGAUACCCUGGUAGUCCACACCGUAAACGCUGUCUACUAGCUGUGUGUGUCUUUAAGACGUGCGUAGCGAAGCUAACGCGCUAAGUAGACCGCCUGGGGAGUACGGCCGCAAGGUUAAAACUCAAAUGAAUUGACGGGGGCCCGCACAAGCGGUGGAGCAUGUGGUUUAAUUCGAAGCAACGCGAAGAACCUUACCUACUCUUGAAAUCCAGUGAACUUAGCAGAGAUGCUUUGGUGCCUUCGGGAACACUGAGACAGGUGCUGCAUGGCUGUCGUCAGCUCGUGCUG
rnacentral:rRNA from 1 species